rnacentral:lncRNA from 1 species
UGAAUUUGAAGGCACUUUCAACAUAUCAGUAUCCAUGUUAAUAAGCUCUUGCGGUUCCUAGAUCAAAAUUUUCCAAAACUACUCUGCAGCUGCUACAAGUAGUCUUAAGAAACUAAACCUUGAAGAUUCCACUGUAGGAGAUGAAAGUGCCCAAAAUAAUGACUUGUGCUAACUACUUUUCUUAUGAUCACUUUGAAUCUUCCAUGGUAUUCUGAAGAAUUGUUUUGUCUUGUUAUAGAUGCAAAGAGAAAUAGCAUGCUUGAAGCCAGAAGAAUUAUUUAGUGGGUGCAUUAUUGGUGAUACUAAGCCUGGGCAUUUCGGAUAUCGGUUCGGUUCGGUUCGGAUAUUUCGGAUUUCGGGUAGUUCGGAUAGGGGCUAGAGGAUCCAUUUAGUACUUGACC